rnacentral:rRNA from 1 species
AAAUUGAAGAGUUUGAUCAUGGCUCAGAUUGAACGCUGGCGGCAGGCCUAACACAUGCAAGUCGAACGGUAACAGGAAGAAGCUUGCUUCUUUGCUGACGAGUGGCGGACGGGUGAGUAAUGUCUGGGAAACUGCCUGAUGGAGGGGGAUAACUACUGGAAACGGUAGCUAAUACCGCAUAACGUCGCAAGACCAAAGAGGGGGACCUUCGGGCCUCUUGCCAUCGGAUGUGCCCAGAUGGGAUUAGCUAGUAGGUGGGGUAACGGCUCACCUAGGCGACGAUCCCUAGCUGGUCUGAGAGGAUGACCAGCCACACUGGAACUGAGACACGGUCCAGACUCCUACGGGAGGCAGCAGUGGGGAAUAUUGCACAAUGGGCGCAAGCCUGAUGCAGCCAUGCCGCGUGUAUGAAGAAGGCCUUCGGGUUGUAAAGUACUUUCAGCGGGGAGGAAGGGAGUAAAGUUAAUACCUUUGCUCAUUGACGUUACCCGCAGAAGAAGCACCGGCUAACUCCGUGCCAGCAGCCGCGGUAAUACGGAGGGUGCAAGCGUUAAUCGGAAUUACUGGGCGUAAAGCGCACGCAGGCGGUUUGUUAAGUCAGAUGUGAAAUCCCCGGGCUCAACCUGGGAACUGCAUCUGAUACUGGCAAGCUUGAGUCUCGUAGAGGGGGGUAGAAUUCCAGGUGUAGCGGUGAAAUGCGUAGAGAUCUGGAGGAA